GUGCAAAUGAACCUGCCUGGUGGUGGGGACGGACUUCAGUUCCGUUGAGGCUUGACGGCCUAGCUGUUCGAUUCAGCCUUUUGCACG